GACGAACGCUGGCGGCGUGCUUAACACAUGCAAGUCGAACGGGCCUGUCUUCUUUUUUGGGGGGUGGGUUGAGUGGCGAACGGGUGAGUAUCACGUGAGUAACCUGCCCUUCGGUCCUGGAUAACCGCUUGAAAGGGCGGCUAAUACGGGGUGGUCCGGUUGGUCCGCAUGGGCUGGUCGGGAUAGAUUCACUGUUUUUGGUGUUUCGGCGGGGGAUGGGCUCGCGGCCUAUCAGCUUGUUGGUGGGGUGAUGGCCUACCAAGGCGGUGACGGGUAGCCGGCGUGAGAGGGUGGGCGGCCACACUGGGACUGAGAUACGGCCCAGACUCCUGCGGGAGGCAGCAGUGGGGGGUAUUGCACAAUGGGCGGAAGCCUGAUGCAGCGACGUCGCGUGAGGGAUGGAGGCCUUCGGGUUGUGAACCUCUGUUUCCGGUGGUGAAGGCCCUGUCCGUGUGGUGGGGUUGACGGUAGCCGGGGAUGAAGCGCCGGCUAACUACGUG
rnacentral:rRNA from 1 species